AUGGCAGCUAUGCUUUCUUGCCAUGGUGCUCAGUCUAGUGAUGUGUUUGCACCUGGUAGCCGCGCCGGCAGAGCUCAUAAACACCGUUAUCUCCGCAACGAAGAGGACAUACAGGAGGAGGUCAAUGAAGAGGAGGCAACACAUCAAGAGGAGCCAACACAAGAAGAGGAGCAGGAACAACAAGAGCAUGAGUAUGAUGUUGAUGCUCCACAACCAUCACAGGUUACACAACCGACACAAGGCAAUGCCCACUCUAGAAAAGGCAACGCCAUAGCUAAGACACCGGGCAAGAAAGGUAGAAAGAAGACAUGGAACACUCAAUUCCAUAGUCCGGAGUAUCCUCAUCAAUUUAUGCCUACAGGAAUGCAAAGAUAUAAGUCCAACAAUGAUGCGGAGGCGGAGGGGGCUAGCAAAGAGGAGGAGCAUGCACUUGCAGAUAUCGUGAAGAGAGGAAGGAGGAAGUGA
rnacentral:rRNA from 1 species